rnacentral:lncRNA from 1 species
CUCUCCUCCCGCUCCCUCCGCCCGUCCCUCGGCCCCUACCUUCGUGGUGGAAGCUGCGCACGGUGUUGGCGCGGCUGGCGGCCCUCUCCAGCGGGUAGCCCAGCUGCUGGCCGGCGUGCAGGCGAUAGAGGUCCAACAUGUAGGGGGGGAUGACGACGUCCUUGCCGGGGCUCGGCCGCCGCUUCAGCCCGAACAUGUGGAGCAGGCGCAGCUCGAACUCGCCCAGGAGGUCCUCGGGGCGCUGCGCGGCCGAGGCGGCGCGGCCCGGUUCGCUGAAGCGCCGCCGUCCCACCUCCGGCAUGAGGCCGGCCGCGCCGCCCAGCAGCACCCGGCAGAGCAGCAGCGCCAGGAGGGAGCGGGUGGCGGCAACCAUGGUCGACCUGCGCGGAGGAGGAGGAGGCGAUGGGAGGCGGUCAGCGCGGGCACCGCGCCGGGGGAGCGCGCCGCGAGGCGGGGGGCGGCCGGGACCGCUCCGCAGGUGGCCGCCGGCCCAUGGCGAGCGGCGCGCGGGACGGCGCGGAGGGGGCCCGUCGGGGCUCAGGUGCGCGGCGGCACGAAAACCCGCGGCGGGGGAUCAAAGGGAGCCGGGCCGGGCCGCGGGGGGCCGAGGGGAAGGGGCGCGGGCGGCCGGAGCGCUGCCCUCGGCGGGCGCAGGUGUGCGCCGCGGCGGCCUCCUGCCGAGGGGACGGGGGGCGGAGAGGGACGGGGCGGCGGGAGAGGGACCUCCCGGCCGUGCCCGGCGCGGGGCCCGGGGCCGGCUUCCCAGCCGCGGCUCCUCCGGGCGCGGGGAGAAGGAGGGCCCCUCUCUGCCGGCGUGGGAAGAGGAGGAAAAAGCGAAAGAAAACGAAAAGAAAAGCCGUUCGCGCUCCGUCCCGAGCAGGAGCCGCGGGACGCUCUUCUCCCCCGCGAAACUCCGCGCGGGGUAAGGAUCGCUACACGCUCUCCGUCGCGCUCAGCGUCCCGUCCCCCCUCUCUUGCGGAGCGCACGGAGUCCUCCUGCGGAGACGGCGCUCGGCGGCCGCGGGGCCGUACCUGAGUGCGGCGGGGCUGGCGUCUGCGGGAGCGCGUGCUGCUCUCGGGCUGUGGUCCCCGCAUCACUUGGAGUUACUCCGAACCGCGCUGCUGCUGCUCCUCUGCGGCCGCCGGGCGGAAAACGGGAGCUCCCCGCGGUGCGGAGCGCCUCGGGAACAUGCCUACGGCGGCGGGGCGGGAGGCAGAAGGAAGGGCUCUGCCGGGGAAGGCUUCUCCGUUCGGAAAGCGGCGGUCGGAAAGUCGGCGCUUCCUUUUCGUCCUCCUCUCGGUGCGCGCGUGCCCGCCCGCCAGUGGGUGCUAUGUGUUACGGAGCGGCACGGCGCCUCGCGCGAGCGUCCUUCGCAUCACCCGCAGCGGACGGACGGAUAUUUACCGGGAGUCCCGCAGCGACAUGGAAACGGGAGUUCGGCUUCGCUUUGCUCCGCUCCCUUAAAAAAAAAAAAAAAAAAAAAAGAAGAAACCUACAAAAAAAAAAAAAAAAAAAAAAAAAAGCCCUCCGGAGGGUGUGGAGCACCGCGGUGGAGCGCCGGGGACAGCGCUGCGAGCGCGCACCCGUCCCGCCCGCGCCGCACCAUGCACGGGGGCGGCCGAACGCCGCCGCGGCUUUUUGUUGCGCGCCGAUGUCACGACCCCGGAGGCUCGCGGGCCCGCGCCAAUCACAGCCGCCCUGUGGGAGCGGGCCGCGGCCCCGCACGGCUUUUAAAGGAGACGCCGCCUCCCUCUCUCCCUCCCUCGCCGCUUCUCUCCCUCCUCCCUCGCCCGUUCCCUGCCUCGCCCGGCCGCGCCGCGGCGGCCUCCGGCCCGUCCGUCCGUCCGCCCGUGCGGAGCUGCGCCGCCGCUCCCCGCGCGACGGCGGCGACUGAACGCUGGGUCGCGCGAGGCGACCCGACCCCGAGCCCCCGGCGGCGCUCCCCGCCCGCGGCCCCGCUCCGCACCUGCCCGCUCCCCGCCGCUCUGCGCCUCGGCGCGGCACCGCGCUCGGGGGCGGCCUCCGCACCCGCUUUGGUCCGCCCGCGUGGGACGCGGCCCCUCCGCGCGGCUGUGCGGCACUACCGACGGGGCCGUCGCAGGGCGUGGGGCCCGGUGCGGGCUGCUGCCCGCGAGGUCACAAACGCUCCUCGGGGACUUCAUUUGCAGAGAAGCCACAGUCAAACCUAAAAGACUGCGGAUGAGUAUCGACACCUCCAUUUCCAGCUCCUCCUUUGGGAGUGGCCUUCUCCCUCCACCUUGACUUAGGGCGCCACACAACAUCCGCACUGGGGCAGGUCCCUUCUCCUGCCUUCUCCUCAGCUGCAGCUGUGCCCUGGGACAGUGCCCAGGGGGGGCUCCCAGCACUGCGACUCCCCGUGGAGCCGGGAGAGCCCCUUUGGCCCGGCUGCUCCCCAGGCUCCCUCAGCUGACCCUCACUUUGCUGCUGCAGGGCGCACGCGGCGUGGUGAAGGCCCUCAAAAGCUCCGUCACUUUUCCGUUGCAUUUCAGUGCAAAGCAUGUUUAGUUUUAUGACCUCCUGCGAGUCUUCGGCAGGAACAAGGUGCGAGCGGUGCGAUGCUGCGCCAGUUAUGUAAAUCAGCACUAAAAUAACAAUGGCAAUGUAGUUUACACAUCGCUGGCGUUAAAUGAGCACUUCGACUUCUAUCAGUCCGUCGUGGGUCACGCUAGGAAAAAGUCAUUUCUUGCCUCAAUGCCUGUGCUUGUGCCCGGAGCAGAGGCUCUGCGGAGUGCCCAGCAGUGUCUGCAGGAGAUCCUCCAUCGGGUGCUGAGCCUGGACAAGGAGGCUCUGAGGCCCCUUCCCACCCCUACAGCUGUGCACAGUGAGUCUGAGCGAACACAACUGAAGGCAAAGCGCAGUUCCUGGUGCCGCAAUCGCCCCCCGGGUUCCACAAACACGAGGAGGCGAGCAGCACAUGUGCAGAAGGUUCAGCUCAGCCUGGUCUCCCACGGCAGCACUCUCCUACAGAGCUACCCUUCAGACAGCGCUGGUGCAUCAGCUCCACUCCUGACUGAGAAACCAGCACUCGUGCUGAAGAGAUCUGAUACGGACGUUGGGUUUUAGGAAGCUGGACCAUACAGAUCUCUAAUCUUUGUGAACCUUCAUUUCCGUACUCCUGAACUUUGCAUAGUUGACUGGACUGGUUAAUUUCAUCUUCCCUUUUCUGCACAUCUACUCCCUUUUCUUUCUUUCUUCCUUUUUUUCCCCCUUGCUUCAGUGUUAUUGUGCCUUGGCGUGGGCUCUUUCUGAGCCAGCGAGCAUUCAGCUAAGGGCACCUGCUUCUAAGGUUUCAGAUCCAGGUGCUCUUUGCAGGUGCCCAAUUGCAGCUGAUAGACCUCAACUUUAUGCACUGUUGGGUUUUCUUAGUAAAAUAAAGUACCCACAGACAGGUAGGUUUUACAACCCAGUAAGAUCUGUUUAUCAGGCCUCGGAGGCAAGAAGAAAGUCUUCUUCCCCACAGUGCUCUCUUCUUACUAAUAUUACAUCAAAUUGCCUUUCUGUAGUGCCACAAGGUAGUUUCUUUCUUCUGUCCUGAUUUAAUUGUGACCACUGCCCACGUUGCAGUGGGCAGAAGUCUUCAGCUGGAAGACCUCGAUGAGAAAUGCUGCUGGGACCUCGAGUUGGAACUCACAGUCGUUAACAGCUCAAUCAAACACAAUCAUUAACACUCCAGAUCCCGGUCUAGUUGGAGGGCAGGUCUGCAGAAGCGCACCUAUUGCUCUGUGCACACGGCUGUUCAACGGUUCUACCGCUGACUUCAGCAGACCUGUUAGACCAACACUGAGCACUUUUAAUAUUCCCCUCUUAGGCCAAUUUCCCACAGAUACAGUGAGCUUUUGACAUGAUAUGUUAAUAGUACCGAGGGUUUUUUAUGUGUUUUGUACAUUGCAGUGACUAAACCUCUUAAGAGAAACCUAUGCUGAAGCAUGACAAAUCUGCAUGAUACAGCAUCAAAUGUGAGGGGGGCAGCUUCUGAAAAUGAGUUAAGAUGUGUUAGUGAUGUUGAGGCUUUGGCUUCAUAAAGGAUAGAGAUUAUCUGAAAGCUUUUCCGUUUCUAAACUCGGCUCCCUGUUGGCAUCUGUGCGAAUGUGAUGUGUGGCCAUUCUUGAACAUCCGACUUCAUGCUGCCUUCUGAACAUUUGUCUUUCGGUAGUUUGUCUUUAACGUCCAUCAAUGGUCUCUGCUCUGCAGUCUGUCUCCUGCUGCAUGAAGGAUGGAUUCUCACUCGAGAAGGUAAUUUAUAAGACGAUGGUUUGUUUCUGAAGAGGGGAAAGGCAUUUUAUUUGGAAAUGCCUUUUCUUUCUUAUUCACCUUUGCUGGAAUCUGGCAGCUCAUCAAAGCUGUUGCUCUGUUUCACAGUGAGUCUCAAUUUCAUUCAUCAAAUCUUGGCUCUCUUUCCAUCGUAGUAGCAAGAAAAUUGGAACUUAUCAGGAACUACAGCGCACAGCCACUGUUUUCUAUGUUUCAAAGAUGUUUGCAGUGCUAAUGAAUGAUAACAGUUGCUCCUAACACUGUUAGAGCUCCCACGGCUGUGCAACUUUCAUAAGUUAAAAUCAGUUCCGACAGUUUGUAACUCAUACGAUUGCUGGGGAAAGAGGAAUAAAGGAUAACCUUUUUUUUCCUCCUGUUUUCCUCUUUAUGCUACAGAUGCUCUGAGUUUCAAAAUCCAGUAUUUCAACAGUAGCUUUUAUCAUGAAGAAGUGGGAAAAUGCUGUAACACCUCUGGACAGCCUGGAGAAUAACUGAGCCAUCACCUGAGAGAUACCUGGGCACCGUCAUCAUUUAUAGUGAAAGGACAAGGGGGAAUGGUUUUAAACUGAGACAGGGGAGGUUUAGGUUGGAUAUUAGGAGGAAGUUUUUCACACAGAGGGUGGUGACGCACUGGAACAGGUUGCCCAAGGAGGUUGUGGAUGCCCCAUCCCUGGAGGCAUUCAAGGCCAGGCUGGAUGUGGCUCUGGGCAGCCUGGUCUGCUGGUUGGCGACCCUGCACGUAGCAGGGGGGUUGAAACGCGAUGAUCAUUGUGGUCCUUUUCAACCCAGGCCAUUCUAUGAUUCUAUGAUUUAUAUAUAUUUAAUUACAUGCAGUAUGUGGACUGUCAGUGUGGGGAGGUGCAGUAGGCAGUGAACUGACAAGGAUUCAGGACACCUCAGUCCCUGCCUCAGCACUGAGUACCCCUUUCCCCCCCUUUCCUGCCUCGCUUUUCCCUCCUUUGAAAUGGGGAUGAUUCUGCAGGCCCCCGCUUAGAGGUCACCACAAGCCCUGUUAGGAAAGGGGCUAAGACUUGGGCAUUGCUACUGUUUGGGGCUAAGUGGUGGGUGGAUGCCAAUAAGUAAUCUGAAAUAUCCAGAAUCCCACGGCUCCAUCUCACCUAGUGGCGAAAUUCCUGUUGGUUUUGGUGGCACGGGUUCACACGUUUGAAGAGACCAUGAUGCUGCCUAUUCCAGCCAGAAGACUCAGAGCAAAGAGGGCUUUUUAAAUUACGUAAGUCCUGGUAGGAAGAAAAUGAGGCGAGGGUGUUCCACCACAUAAAAGAGAGAUGGCUGCGUCACAGAUGGGACACUUCAGGAGCUUAUGAUUUCAUCACUGAACAGAUAUUGACGUCAAGUAAAAUGGAGGAUAAUAUAAAGCUACGCAUAUUGCCUUAAGAAGUGCAUACUUGAGCAGUGAAAUUGGAUAAUGUUUUGCAAUUAAAAUAAAAUAAAGGCAAGCGUGACGUUCUGUUUAAGCAGAUUGUCUGUAUGAAGGCUUUAUUGUAGCUGCAGAUUUAGGGCAUAUGAAAAGGUUUUCUGUGCUCAGUCGCAGGAUGAAAAACAUUGCAUCAUCAGGCAUUCUUGUUCUCUAACACUUCUUUGCCAGUAUGCUUUUGAUAAUGAACGCUUGCAAUUUUAUUUUCUGGUCUAAAGUCAUGUUUUCUCAGGUCAUUAUCAUUCCAAUUUUUAAAUAUCCUCUUAGAACUAGACAGAACUACAGAGAGCAAUAGUGAAGCUUUGUGCCUGCCCCGUGGCACGUGCUCGGCACAAGCGAUCAGCUGCUGCACCUGCUUCACAAUGGGAGUAAAGCUAUUUGCAAGUUGCUUUCAAUCACUUCCCUCGUUUCCAGCUCUGCCCCGUUUUCAGAGAAGCUCUGACAGCAACAGGUCUCCGUUCAGACAUCGCCCCUUAGCGUGUAUUUGGUCGGGUUGUGUGUUACAGGAGUUACCGAUGGAGCAUCUUCGGAGAACAUCCUUGGAUUGUCCCCAGGCCUUUGUCUGCUCCGAUGCUGCAUUGCUCCCUUUGCAGCCAUCCUGAAAGGACACUCCAAACUGCACUCCAAACUAAUAAUUAGCAGCACAUGCAGAAUUGCUGUAUGUCUAUCCCUGGCUCAUCUGCAGCCUGGACAUCGCAGUACUUUUUCUUCCCAUUGUUUUCCAAAAGGAGGAAGAUCAGCUACCCUCCCACGUUUUACAGAAGGGGAAAAGCAGUUUCAGUGAAAGGCUGUUUUUAAGAGGUAUGCAGAAGCCCAGAGACCUAUAUAGGUCACACGAAGAUUUCCGAGGAUGCAUAAUCAGGUUAGAGACACAAAUUCCUAAAACUUGAGAGAGACGUCAGCAGUCGGCUCACGCAGACAUUUCUGAAAAUCCCAACGCCAAAUCUAUGCAACAGUUUCCUGACGAAUCCUUGCCGCGCCUCGUCUGUAGUUUGUACUGAGAACCGUAAAUCCUAGCAGGAGUAAAAUCACCUCAUUCAGCAACGGACAAAAGCUCUGACACCGUGAGACCACCUGUGCUGGGGAGAGCGUUCUGCAGCCUCAGCUGGGCCCAUGAAGGUACCUGUCUCAGUAGUGGGAUUCCGGUUUGUUCCCCCGCCGGGUCAGCCUCCACAGCAGAGGGGCACAGUGCAUUCCCUUGCACAACGUGCCAUCACCUCCCGGGAACCAGAACGGUGAGGCUCAGCUAGGGAACCGUGGAUAAAACUCCACUUAUUUUGCACCUCUGAGCUUCUCGCCUGCUUUCCUGCAUGCAUCCCAUGCCCCUGAGUGCAGCCCCCACAGCCCCUGGGCUUUCAGGAAGCAGAAGAACCUGCCCCAGAUUUCUUCUGCCCCUCUUUGUGCCCAGGACACGCAGCCAGCAGAGCGGGGAUCACUGUGAGAACAACACUGCUACCUCCGUUCAUUUUACACAGCCGGAAUCAAGUCUGUAAGUGCUGGUUCAGAUGCUCAUACAGCCCAGGAAGAACCCCAACGACCAAAAAAUUAACCUUAUGAAUAAAUCAUUGAAAAAUUAGGGCUACUCUCUCCAGACCAAUGGAAGGCUGAAAUUGCAAGUUAGGAAGUUAAACGUGACAUUGACUUCUGCAGCUGGUAGGAAAACAGCUUCCUUGCAAAACAAAAACUAGAAUGUUUUGUAUCCAUUUUUUCUCUAAAGCAACUUCUAUUGAAUCAGAUGUUACUAAUAAGGAACUUCGAUAGAUUAAAGAAACGCACCUCUGCAAUAAUAUGUGAAUAUUAUGUUUUCCUUCCUUCCAUUCAUUUACAAUACACGUUCCGAUAACACAAGCUGGAUUUAGACAGGUCAAAGCUGCAAAAAAGCAAAAAUUCUCCAAAUGAAAGCAUAUGGGGAUGAGAUAAAAUAGAGGCCUUCCCUUAAACCAACGUGAUUUCACAGCUGGCCUGAGGGAAUGUCAUCUGCACCACAUCGCCACGCGUGUCCAGGCAGCUGUACGUAUUAUUUUCCCUGUUUGCUUACAUUAGAAAUAAAAAAAAUCCUCUAGACUGAAUCACAGCGAUGGCUCCUACCUGAAAUGUCUCUCCUGCAUUUGACAAGACCUGUAGGUUAAUGGAUUGAACUUCUCUCUCUAUAAAAGAGCUAGGGCAGCUACAGGCAGCGUGGAACUUAGUGAAAUUUUGCCCAAGCAGCACACAGGCCCUAUGCUCACCUGCUGUGUGCAUCUCAGUCACGCUGUGCCCAGCGUUUGGUGAAGCUGCAAGAAGCCAUCUGCAUGAGACUUCAUUGCCGUGUUUAGUUUCCCUGCCUGUGGGAAACCAUCCUGGUGCAGUAAGCUGUCUGAAUUCUGCAUCCCGCAGGUAAAUUACAUGUGCAGGGUGCCUGAGUAACUCAAGCAGAUGCACUGAUAUUGUUGUGUUGUUGGUCCCAACACAACAGAUGUCAGCUACUGCAGCAGACAACUUAAAGGUCCAACCCAAACUCUUUGACCUCUGAUUUGCUCUGUGGCAUUCCCAUAGCAAGACAGGAAGAGGAGACACCUCAACUGCAACUGCAAUGGUGAUCAUCUGCAUCAAACGCUUCUAAGCAGAGCCAUAGGACAUCAGUAGGAACAUCUCCAUCGUGUUCAGAGAAUUUAGGUUUUCCAGUGUCCCUCAAGAGCAGUGUGACUACUGCUGCGGUCCCUGCAUUAGCCCCACUACUGACAAAGGCGUUUUUGAUGCCAUUCCUUCAAUCUAAAUGAUGGAAUAAAACCAGGUCCCGGGACUGCUCGAACCAACUGUGCCUGGAGACUGUUCAAGAGAGAGAAUAUUUAAAGCAGUGCCGCAAACUGUGCACAGCUUUGCCAAAGCCUAUGGAGCUCUGCACUGGAAAACUGAGCUGAGCUAUCAGUGAUCUUUGCUUAAUCACUGCCUUAAUCACUGUUCCUGGGGCUUCUGCAUAACCAAGGUGAAGCACGUCCCCCAUCCCCCAUCCCUGCUGCAGCUCGAUAACGCCUUGCCUAGAUGCAGGCUUUGCACUUCCAGUGGCCAAUCCGUCCAAGAAAUGAAGGACCUUUCCCUCCUUUUCCUGCUGGGCUCCAGCACCUCACUGCAGCUCCUCUGCCAAAACCAAUGCUCCUGCAGUGAGUGGGUUCCCACAGCAGCUUUGGCUGAGCAGAAAUCCCUUCUCAGGGCGUGCACGCAGCACUUUGGGUAACUGCAGCCUGAUUUUGGUUGGAACUGCCACAUUACAAACAAAUUCUUUGCAUUUAUAUUUGAAUUAAAUGUAAAUUCUUUUAGUAAUUAAAAGCUCAGUUCCAGUCCUUCACUUGUAAACAAAUUCCCAAAUCUGGAAGAGCCACAACCUCUCCCCUGCCACAGUCGAAGGUACAGUAGCUUACAUUUUAGCUAACGUUGUUUUGUUCAAAAUCAAAUGAGGUUCAUAUUAAGCCUACAAAAAGAAAUCAUGAUUGAUGAUCUGGCCUGCCCAGCUACAAUUCCUUUAGUAACAAAAAUAUUUUGUAAGUUCAUUUAUUAUUGAGAUCAAGCAAUGAGUCUGGAGCUACAGAAAAUGGUUCCAAUUAGAUUCAAGUAAUUGCCAUUUUGAGUGAACAUGAGCUUUUGGGGAUGAAAAAAGGCAAUAAAAGUUCAAGUAAGCUCACUUCUGAGAUUUAAGCCUUCAAAGCUUUCCCCUCCCCCCCUCCCCCCCCUUUUUUUUAAGUGAGAGUGACAUGCUCAAGGGAGGAUGGGGGGAGGAGGACCAAAGAUGCAUGGACAGGAGUGGUUUUCCCAAGCUGAUGUUUCUCACUGGGUGCCUCAGUCUCCCUGCAAGUGCUGCCUGUGCGAUCUGCACCAACUGCAGCAGCAGCAGCACCAUUAAAGUAAGCAAAGCAGAGAAAAGCCUAUAAAGCACAAGUUUGAUGAUCUCAUUGAAAUUCUCCUGAAGUCGAGGUCUUCUCCUGCAGCAGCAGGUUUCGGAGCAAUGACAGAGCACAUGGAAGACGAAAACAGUUUCAGAGCAGUGCCAGCUGGAUCCCUGCAGCAGCCAAGUGAGUCAACCAGAGAGAAAAAUCUGUGUGCAGAUGGAGGCACUUCUGAGGGGUCAUCGAGAGUCACUACAGAGCAGAAAGUGCUUCAGUGCCGCUUGAUGCCGAGUUGUAGGAACCUAACUUGGAGCUGGAUCCCUGGCCCUGCACACCUUUUGUGCUGUGCUGUGUCUCCCACAGACAGCUUUUCUAGUUGUAUCAUACCAGCUGAGAACUGCAUAGAACAAGUCCCAUCGCUGGAUAAGGUCAGCUUGCCACCACGGGCUCAGCAAAGAGCUGGCAUUCUCCCACAGUGACCUGAUGGGCAUUGCUGUAGACACAUGGGUUCAGUGGCCUCCUCCAGACCAGAUUCCCUACCUGAUCUCAUAGAAGUUGUUACACCCAGAGCCAUGACUCUCUCUCAUUGCAUGCUGGCAGGCUACAUCUUCAUGGACUACAGCACCCAUGUGAAGUCCCUCAGAGGAGAUCCUAAACAUCAUAGCCUCAAGUUGCACCAGGGGAGGAGGUUCAGGUUGGACGUUAGGAAAUACUUCUCCGAGAGAGGUGCUGGAAUGGGCUGCCCGGGGAGGUGGUGGAGUCACCAUUUCUGGAGGUGUUCAAGAAGUGUUUAGAUGUUGUACUGAGGGACAUGGUUUACUGGGAAAUAAUGGUGAUAGGUGGACAGUUGGACUGAAUGAUCUUAGAGGUCUUUUCCAACCUUGGUGAUUAUGAUUCUAUGGAGAUUUGGGUGAUACUUAAGCUAUAGGAAUCUGGCUUGUGCUAGGGAUCACGGCAAAGGAUCGUGCACAGUUCCCUCCCAUGUUGAACAAAAUGCUUAGUUAAGACGAAGCACAGGCAUGAUCACUCACAUUCCCAUGCCAAAAUAACCCUUACCCCAGGCAGUCCCUCACACCAGGAUGACAGAACCAGUAGAUGUGUCUUAAAACAGUUUCCAGCCCUCCCUGCCAAAAGAAGCAUUAAUCAGAAUGACUUGAAACACCCUGAAACAAUUUCCCAACAUAUGAGGGGGGGCUGAAGCCACUGCUUCCUGUGCUGCGAGAAACACCUUCAACCCGUGGACAUACGGAUGCAGAAAGUAAGGGAUGGGAUAAGACAGCACUUCCAAACUCCAUGAGCCUCAGCCACACACGGACCUCAUGUAGGCAUUUCGCUGGGUGUGGUGUCAUCAGCCCCUGUAUUACCUGGCUCUCAGCACACAUUUGUCUUUAGCACACUAUCUCCCAUUAAGACCUGAGAGUGAUCAAGGAGUUCUGAGUGAGGGAAGGAAGAUGGACUGUUUCAGAUUUCAAGACAUUCAUUUCUCCUUCUCAUGGCCCAGAUAUCACCAUAUUAGAAGCUCAAUUUCCAGUGCCCUCCCAAAGGUCUACAAAUGUUCACUACUGCCUCUAUGGAUGGUUUAAUCUCUGGAGUGCAGUUUGCUAAUAAUUGCAAUCAGAUCAUAGAUACAGAUCUAGAUUUUUCUAUGGCAACACAGAGCUUCUUUCAGGUCUGAUCGUGCAUCAGUAUAAUACAGAACACUUUCUGUUUUAGUACCACUUUCGCUGACAACGUUUUAGAGCUUCUGUUUUAAGCCUUGGAGAGAAAUAGGAAGUCAGUCUGGAGAACCUACAGAGCUCGGCUGAAACUAUGCUGACUCAAAGCAGCCGAAGACCAUCCUAAAUGGAGUUGUUACAAGACCUUGGCAUUUCUGGGACUAGCCCCUGAUAAAACAUGACAAGAAAACUCAGAAUCUAUUCUCUAAAGACAGCCCCCCCCUUUCUCUACGGCCUCCUUUCUCCUGCUUUUGAAAGACUUUCUUGCCCCCAAAGCAGUUAUGCCAGGAACACAGAGGAGCACUCUAGCUUCAAGGCAGGUUGCACAGCCACCCAAAGUGCUGCUCUGGACACUUCCAAGCACAGCCCCAUCUUCUUCAGGCAGCCACAUCCCAAAGCUGCAGGGAUGAGAUGAGGAGUAGUGCCACACAAGUGCCUGCUCUCUGCCAGAGGCACAGUGCUGCAUGUCAGCACGGUCUGGGUCACGACUCGCCCUGCAGCCUUCUGCUGAGCGUGCACAGGGGCAGCUGCAAGGCUGAGGCCUACGAAGGAUUCACCAGUACCAACUCCGGCAAAACCCAUCAGCUGAGAGAUCCCCGAGGAGCUGACAUCGCUGUCUAUCUAACUAAAAUGAAGUAUCAAUAACCUAGCUAACACUUGAUGAAAGAGCCUUUCUGAAUUAUUUACUCUAUGUCAUACUUCAGGUUUUAAUUUCAAUAUAUUGUGAGAUGUACGAUAAAUUAUUUAGAAGUGUGGCAAAUUAAAAUGUAGUUUCAAAUCCACCUGUAUUUUCUCCUCUUAGGUUUACAGUCCAGUUUACAACAAUGUAGUGCUGAUCUCCUUUUGCUAAUGGUUUUUCAGCUAGAGAGGCAUAGAGGCAUACAAGUUUUCCAUUGCAGCAAAUCUUAUCCAGCUUGCAUUAUUUAACAACCCGUCCUCCUUGAGAUAUACUAAUGAAAUACAUCUUAGGCAAAAGGGUCAAGGGUACCUGCAGCAGGCUGGCCCAGGAGCUGGUGGUUAUUUCCCAGCCUCACUCAAAGGCAUACGAUGCUCUGAGGGCUUUUUACCUCCCC